AUUGAACGCUGGCGGCAGGCCUAACACAUGCAAGUCGAACGGUAACAGGAAGCAGCUUGCUGCUUCGCUGACGAGUGGCGGACGGGUGAGUAAUGUCUGGGAAGCUGCCUGAUGGAGGGGGAUAACUACUGGAAACGGUAGCUAAUACCGCAUAAUGUCGCAAGACCAAAGAGGGGGACCUUCGGGCCUCUUGCCAUCGGAUGUGCCCAGAUGGGAUUAGCUUGUUGGUGGGGUAACGGCUCACCAAGGCGACGAUCCCUAGCUGGUCUGAGAGGAUGACCAGCCACACUGGAACUGAGACACGGUCCAGACUCCUACGGGAGGCAGCAGUGGGGAAUAUUGCACAAUGGGCGCAAGCCUGAUGCAGCCAUGCCGCGUGUAUGAAGAAGGCCUUCGGGUUGUAAAGUACUUUCAGCGGGGAGGAAGGGAGUAAAGUUAAUACCUUUGCUAAUUGACGUUACCCGCAGAAGAAGCACCGGCUAACUCCGUG
rnacentral:rRNA from 1 species